GGUUUAAUUACCCAAGUUUGAGGUACAUUCAACUAAA
rnacentral:sRNA from 1 species